ensembl:lncRNA
UUCUGUAAUCAGAGACCCUCUUGCUGGUUGGAGCCUCAUUACCAGCGAGCCGACAUUCGAUGAGGCCAAGUUGACCUCUCCAUCUCCUACACUUCCCACAGAGAGGGUGCAAGUAGUAAAGACAAAGCCCUGCACACCAUUCCAAGUGCUUCUCCUGUCACAUAGCUGGAAGCACCAUCUGAGCAGGUGCAGAGCUCUGCCCGAGUCCACCACUGACCUAAGAAGCAUCCUCUGCGUUAAACAGGUAGGUACCAGGUACACUUCUCAUUGAUUUGUCUUUUGAGCACAUGCAAAAGGUCAGCUAUCAAUCACAAUAAUGGAAACGUAAUUUUUAUCUUUUUCUGCAUUGCUUAUCUCAGUCUUUGGGGCCAGUGUAAAAGGCAAGAGGAAGUGUGCUGUGCUAACCCCAAGGUACCAUUGCCCACUUGCCAGUCUUCA